AAUAAGUUCAUUUGUGGGUUUCUGUGUUUAACGUUUGAUCGUCCGUCUUAUUUAGUUUUUGUAUAUUUAGUAUUUGUAUUGUUAUUACAUGAUAAAAUAACAGUACUUUAUGCAUAAUUUAUUUUUAAAAUUUUAAGAAUAAGAUGGACAGUCAAAUGUGGGAUAUCGAAACCUACAAAUGAACUUAUU
rfam:Oryza barthii chromosome 6, whole genome shotgun sequence.